CCUCUGAUUUCUCCUCUUUUUUACUUCGUUUGGAGAGUUUGUUUAACACAUAUCUGACAACAUACAUGGCUUGCUGUGCGGUUAACAGACCAUCCAACAAGUUGAUGCUUCAGUUGUUUUCGACCCCGCACUAAAAGUCCAUGUUCUCCUGGAUCCAUGUCACAUGCUCGAGCUUCUUCAGAAUGACUUUUCAACAGUCGAAGUUCUGAUGAGAGAAGAUGGCCAGCAGAUAA